rnacentral:rRNA from 1 species
GACGAACGCUGGCGGCGUGCUUAACACAUGCAAGUCGAACGGAAAGGCCCUGCUUUUGUGGGGUGCUCGAGUGGCGAACGGGUGAGUAGCACGUGAGUAACCUGCCCUUGACUUUGGGAUAACUUCAGGAAACUGGGGCUAAUACCGGAUAGGAGCUCCUGCUGCAUGGUGGGGGUUGGAAAGUUUCGGCGGUUGGGGAUGGACUCGCGGCUUAUCAGCUUGUUGGUGGGGUAGUGGCUUACCAAGGCUUUGACGGGUAGCCGGCCUGAGAGGGUGACCGGCCACAUUGGGACUGAGAUACGGCCCAGACUCCUACGGGAGGCAGCAGUGGGGAAUAUUGCACAAUGGGCGGAAGCCUGAUGCAGCAACGCCGCGUGCGGGAUGACGGCCUUCGGGUUGUAAACCGCUUUCGCCUGUGACGAAGCGUGAGUGAUGGUAAUGGGUAAAGAAGCACCGGCUAACUACGUG